rnacentral:tRNA from 1 species
GGUGCUACGGCUCAGUUGGUCAAAGCGUCUGCCUAGUAAACAGGGGAUCCUGGUUUUGACUCCCAGUGGUGUCU